rnacentral:rRNA from 1 species
CCUUUUUUUUUCCGCUUUUUUCGGAAUUACUGGGCGUAAAGCGCACGUAGGCGGCUAUUUAAGUCGGAUGUGAAAGCCCUGGGCUCAUCCUGGGAAUUGCAUCCGAUACUGAAUGGCUAGAGUACGGUAGAGGGGGGUGGAAUUCCAGGUGUAGCGGUGAAAUGCGUAGAGAUCUGGAGGAACACCGGUGGCGAAGGCGGCCCCCUGGACUGAUACUGACGCUGAGGUGCGAAAGCGUGGGGAGCAAACAGGA